CUACGGGGUGCUCCAGUGAGGAAUAUUGCACAAUGGGGGGAACCCUGAUGCAGCAACGCCGCGUGGAGGAUGACGCAUUUCGGUGUGUAAACUCCUUUUAUAUGUCAAGAAAAUGACGGUAGCAUAUGAAUAAGCACCGGCUAACUCCGUGCCAGCAGCCGCGGUAAUACGGAGGGUGCAAGCGUUACACGGAAUCACUGGGCGUAAAGGACGCGUAGGCGGGGUGGAAAGUCAGGUGUGAAAUCCUACAGCUUAGCUGUAGAACUGCACUUGAAACUUCUAAUCUAGAGUAUGGGGGGGGAAGAUGGAAUUAGUGGUGUAGGGGUAAAAUCCGUAGAUAUCACUAGGAAUACCUAAAGCGAAGGCGAUCUCCUGGAACAUUACUGACGCUAAGGCGUGAAAGCGUGGGGAGCAAACAGGAUUAGAUACCCGAGUAGUC
rnacentral:rRNA from 1 species